AGAAUCAACGCUGGCGGCGUGCCUAACACAUGCAAGUCGAACGCGAAAGUCCCGCAAGGGACAAGUAGAGUGGCAAACGGGUGAGUAACGCGUGGGCGACCUACCUCUGAGUGGGGGAUAACCGUUCCGAAAGGAGGGCUAAUACCGCAUGACAUCCCGUGUUUGGAUACACGGACAUCAAAGCCGGGGAUCGCAAGACCUGGCGCUUGGAGAGGGGCCCGCGUCCGAUUAGCUAGUUGGUGGGUAACGCCCACCAAGGCUCCGAUCGGUA
rnacentral:rRNA from 1 species